rnacentral:rRNA from 1 species
UACGUAGGGACCGAGCGUUGUCCGGAUUCAUUGGGCGUAAAGAGCUCGUAGGCGGCUAUUCAAGUCGAACGUGAAAUCUCGGAGCUCAACUCCGAACUGCGUUCGAUACUGGGUAGCUAGAGUCUGGUAGGGGGAGUCUGGAAUUCCUGGUGUAGCGGUGGAAUGCGCAGAUAUCAGGAGGAACACCGGUGGCGAAGGCGGGAUCCUGGGCCAGUACUGACGCUGAGGAGCGAAAGCGUGGGGAGCAAACGGGGAUUAAGAAACCC